rnacentral:rRNA from 1 species
AAAAACAUGUCCUUUUGUUUAAAUAUAAGGUCUGACCUGCCCAAUGAUUUAUUUAAUGGCCGCGGUAUAUUAACUGUGCUAAGGUAGCAUAAUCAUUUGUCUUUUAAUUAAGGGCUAGAAUGAAUGGUUGGACGAGAUAUAAGCUUUCUUUGGUUUAAUGAAUGAAUUUAAUUUUUUAGUUAAAAAGCUAAAAUUUAUUUGAGGGACGAGAAGACCCUAUAGAUCUUUAUAUAUUAAGUUUUAUUUAUUUUAGAUUAUAAAUUAUUAUAAGAAUUAAGUAUAUUUGGUUGGGGUGACUUUAGAAUAAAAUUAACUUCUAUAUAUAAUUUUCAUAAAUUAGUGUUUUUAUGAUCCAAUUUUUUUGAUUAAAAGAUUAAGUUACCUUAGGGAUAACAGCGUAAUUUUUUCGGAGAGCUCAAAUCGAUGAAGGAGUUUGCGACCUCGAUGUUGGAUUAAAAUAAGUUUUGGGUGCAGGAGCUCAAAAACUAGGUCUGUUCGACCUUUAAUAUUUUACAUGAUCUGAGU